rnacentral:rRNA from 1 species
GCGGUUUAAUUGGACUCAACGCCGGAAACUCACCGGGGCGACAGCAAUAUGUAGGUCAAGCUAAAGACUUUACCAGAUCGCUGAGAGGAGGUGCAUGGCCGUCGUCAGUUCGUACUGUGAAGCAUCCUGUUAAGUCAGGCAACGAGCGAGACCCGUUGCCCACUGUUGCCAGCAUGUCCUUCGGGAUGAUGGGUACUCUGUGGGACCGCCGAUGCUAAAUCGGAGGAAGGUGCGGGCUACGGUAGGUCAGUAUGCCCCGAAUCUCCCGGGCUACACGCGGGCUACAAUGACUGGGACAAUGGGCUCCUACCCCGAAAGGGGAUGGUAAUCUCAUAAACCCAGCCUUAGUUCGGAUCGAGGGCUGUAACCCGCCCUCGUGAAGCUGGAAUCCGUAGUAAUCGCGUUUCAACAUAGCGCGGUGAAUACGUCCCUGCUCCUU